AGAGCGAACGCUGGCGGCAUGCUUAACACAUGCAAGUCGCACGGCUGGGGCAACCCAGCAGUGGCGGACGGGUGAGUAACGCGUAGGUAUCUAUCUCCGGGUGGGGGACAACUGUGGGAAACUACAGCUAAUACCGCAUGAUGCCCGAGGGCCAAAGGCGCAAGUCGCCUGGAGAGGAGCCUGCGUACGAUUAGCUUGUUGGCGGGGUAACAGCCCACCAAGGCGACGAUCGUUAGCUGGUCUGAGAGGAUGAUCAGCCACACUGGGACUGAGACACGGCCCAGACUCCUACGGAGCAGCAGUGGGGAAUAUUGGACAAUGGGCGCAAGCCUGAUCCAGCAAUGCCGCGUGAGUGAAGAAGGUCUUCGGAUUGUAAAGCUCUUUCGACGGGACGAUGAUGACGGUACCCGUAGAAGAAGCCCGGCUAACUUCGUGCCAGCAGCCGC
rnacentral:rRNA from 1 species